rnacentral:rRNA from 1 species
AGCGAACGCUGGCGGCAUGCUUAACACAUGCAAGUCGCACGACCGGGUUUCGGCCUGGGAGUGGCGGACGGGUGAGUAUCGCGUAGGGAUUUGUCGUUGGGUGGGGGACAACCUUGGGAAACUGGGGCUAAUACCGCAUGACGCCUUUGGGCCAAAGCUCGAGAGGGCGCCUGACGAGGAGCCUGCGUCCGAUUAGGUAGUUGGUUGGGUGAUGGCUGACCAAGCCUGCGAUCGGUAGCUGGUCUGAGAGGAUGGCCAGCCACACU